rnacentral:rRNA from 1 species
CCUACGGGUGGCAGCAGUAGGGAAUCUUCCACAAUGGGCGAAAGCCUGAUGGAGCAACGCCGCGUGGGUGAAGAAGGUCUUCGGAUCGUAAAACCCUGUUGUUAGAGAAGAAAGUGCGUGAGAGUAACUGUUCACGUUUCGACGGUAUCUAACCAGAAAGCCACGGCUAACUCCGUGCCAGCAGCCGCGGUAAUACGUAGGUGGCAAGCGUUAUCCGGAUUUAUUGGGCGUAAAGGGAACGCAGGCGGUCUUUUAAGUCUGAUGUGAAAGCCUUGGGCUUAACCGGAGUAGUGCAUUGGAAACUGGGAGACGUGAGUACAUAAGAGGAGAGUGGAAGUCCAGGUGUAGCGGUGAAAUGCGUAGAGAUAUGGAAGAACACCAGUGGCGAAAGCAGCUCUCUGGUAUGUAACUGACGCUGAGGUGCGAAAGCGUGGGUAGCAAACAGGAUUAGAGACCCUUGUAGUC